CUCUCACACAGCACUAUGCUCUUAUCAUAUAGAGUAUAAACUUAAUAUUAUAGCAUAGCUUCUUUGUUAUAUUAUAUAGGUUAUGCAAACAAAUAGUUGGUCAAACCCUAACAGAGUGGAACCACAGUGACUUGAUUCAGAGGUUUGAAGAUGAAGAAAUUGAUGAAGAAAGUUUCCUCUCCCUUAAGGAGAAAGACUUCAUCAACUUGAUUCCAAAAAUAGGACCACGGUCUGCAUUUACAGAAAAACACAAAGCAUUUCUCAAGAGUGAACCCUCAACAAGUAAAAUACGCCCUCUUCAAGUGAAUAUUACAGGCAAAAGGAAAUCUGAUGAGGCCCAUGCAAACAAACAAACAAAGAAACAACAACGUGUUGCUGCGUCCAGAAUAACUGAAACAUUUGGUAGGUGGAUGAUGGUGUUUAUAUGGACCACAAUCAUUUUAAGAAACACUCUUUUAAUUGGAAACCAUUUAACAUGAUGUAUUGUAGACAUUCCUAAUUGAGAAUCGUAAAUAUGUACAUGACUGUUCUCUGUUCUGUUUGCAUGUUGCACAGUAGUGUCACGUCCUGACCAGUAUAGGGGUUAUUUGUUAUUGUAGUUUGGUCAGGACGUGGCAGGGGGUGUUUGUUUUAUGUGGUUCAGGGUGUGUUUUGUGUAUGUGUUUAGGUAGAGGGGUAUUUGAUUUAUUAGUCCGGGGUUUGUUAGUCAUUGUUCUAUGUUAGUGUAAUUCUAUGUUCUUUCUAGUCGUUUUAGAUCUAUGUUUAGUUAAUUGGGGUUGGACCUUCAAUUGGAGGCAGCUGGUUAUCGUUGCCUCUGAUUGAAGGUCCUAUAAUUAGGAGUUUGUUUGUUUUGGGGAU
rnacentral:lncRNA from 1 species